GUGCUCACUUUGGCAGCACAUAUACUAAAAUUGGAAUGAUACAGAAAAGAUUAGCUGGCCCCUGUGCAUGGAUGACACUCAAAUUCGUGAAGCAUUCCAUAUUUUU
rnacentral:snRNA from 1 species